rnacentral:misc_RNA from 1 species
UUUCCGUAGGUGAACCUGCGGAAGGAUCAUUAGAGAGAACUAAGCUCAUUGCGAGCGACUCUCCACCCCAUGUUUACAUGACCUGUUGCUUUGGCAGACCGUAGGGUGUAAACCCUCCACUGGCCUUGCUAGUGUGUGUCUGUCAGAGGAAAUCCACACUCUGUCUAUUAGUGUUGUCUGAGUUAACCACAUAAUUAUAUAAAACUUUCAACAACGGAUCUCUUGGUUCUG